rnacentral:rRNA from 1 species
CAGUCGCCGCGGUAAUACGAAGGGUGCAAGCGUUACUCGGAAUUACUGGGCGUAAAGCGUGCGCAGGUGGUUGUUUAAGUCUGCUGUGAAAGCCCUGGGCUCAACCUGGGAAUUGCAGUGGAUACUGGGCAACUAGAGUAAGGUAGAGGAUAGUGGAAUUUCCGGUGUAGCGGUGAAAUGCGUAGAUAUAGGAAGGAACACCAGUGGCGAAGGCGACUACCUGGACUGAUACUGACACUGAGGUGCGAAAGCGUGGGGAGCAAACAGGAUUAGAUACCCCCGUAGUCCCUGUCUCUUAUAC